rnacentral:rRNA from 1 species
GAGACCGGCGCACGGGUGCGUAACGCGUAUGCAAUCUACCUUUCACAGAGGGAUAGCCCAGAGAAAUUUGGAUUAAUACCUCAUAGUAUAGCAGUUUCGCAUGAAACCACUAUUAAAGUCACGACGGUGAAAGAUGAGCAUGCGUCCCAUUAGCUAGUUGGUAAGGUAACGGCUUACCAAGGCAACGAUGGGUAGGGGUCCUGAGAGGGAGAUCCCCCACACUGGUACUGAGACACGGACCAGACUCCUACGGGAGGCAGCAGUGAGGAAUAUUGGACAAUGGGCGCAAGCCUGAUCCAGCCAUGCCGCGUGCAGGAUGACGGUCCUAUGGAUUGUAAACUGCUUUUAUACGAGAAGAAACCCUCCGACGUGUCGGAGCUUGACGGUAUCGUAAGAAUAAGGAUCGGCUAACUCCGUGCCAGCAGCCGCGGUAAUACGGAGGAUCCAAGCGUUAUCCGGAAUCAUUGGGUUUAAAGGGUCCGUAGGCG